AUGAAAGCGGAGAUGGGCGAGCUCACUCACAAGCAGGGCCGCGCUGGUGUCAGCACCUUGGGCAGCCUCAGUCCUUCCUCUUGGAUCCGGCACUGGCAGGGCACCAGUGCGAAGAGGGCUGCCUGUUCAACUCCCACUGAAGCUACAGGAGGAAGCGGUGACACAUGCUGUCCCUUGUCCUGGAGGAGACCCUGCACCACCAGUCCUGUGUCUGCGACUCCCAGAACCGGAUGGCCCAGGCGCUGUGUCCACGUAGCCCUUCGUGUAUUGUAUUGGGCCUCUUCAGUCACUGCUAGAUUUUCCAGUAUUGACCAACAGAAUCUUCCCAUUGGCUCGUUUCUUGGAAGAAUGAGAAAGAGAUGGGAAGAGGGGGAGAGAGCCUAGCUCCCCACAUGCAGGUCUCUUUCCUUCCUCUCUCCCUGACCUCUUCCAUGCGUGCUUCCGAUAUCCCCAUGUUGAGAAGACAAACCACAGAUAAAGUAGCCUCUCCUGGCCCACAGCCAGGGGCGUGGGUGCCUCCGUCCUGUGUGUGCAGACAGCUGAACAACCAGAUUGUGACCUUGGCCUGGACUUCCUCAGCUGGCUGGAGAUGAACUUGUUUUCAGAACUGUGAAACUUGACAUCCUUUAUCCCGAUACCUUCAACUCCCAAGUUUGCUUGGCCAAAACAAGCCAUAUCUGCUUAAUCUUUGGGGCUCUUUCUCAUGGAAAAGGAGGCUGCUGCUUUGGCCAUUUCCAAAGGCCCAGUGUCCACAGAGCCUUUCAGCACCACAGUCACCCCUUUGGACCCCAGGGGGGAGUAUCCUGCUGUCAUUUCAGUCACAUUUUUAGACAAUGAAACUAGAUGGUGAGGAAGGGCCACUCUGUGCUGGCGCUCAGGCGAAUUCAGGAGGGGAGCAGCCUGCGUCACUGCCCCAGGGACUGCUGGUUAGCCCAGGACUGGAG
rnacentral:lncRNA from 1 species